rnacentral:rRNA from 1 species
UACGGGGGGGGCAAGCGUUGUUCGGAAUUACUGGGCGUAAAGGGCUCGUAGGCGGCCAACUAAGUCAGACGUGAAAUCCCUCGGCUUAACCGGGGAACUGCGUCUGAUACUGGAUGGCUUGAGUUCGGGAGAGGGAUGCGGAAUUCCAGGUGUAGCGGUGAAAUGCGUAGAUAUCUGGAGGAACACCGGUGGCGAAGGCGGCAUCCUGGACCGGCACUGACGCUGAGGAGCGAAAGCCAGGGGAGCAAACGGG